UCGACGGGGACGCGGACGCUGUAUGGGGCAUGUCGAGGUGCAGUCACCUCGUAAACAACUGCAAAAAAUUAAACGCCAACAACAAGCGUUUUGCUCUCGCUGCUUAAUAGCGGGAUGCUACACCGGUUUGUCUCUGGGCCGGGUCAGGUAACUGACAGUAGCAUCAUUUGACAGAGUCUAGGGUGUUCGGAUGUUGCCGACGGAUAUCCGAAACUUAGGUGACUGGCUGGAGGCUGGCCCGCUGCUCGGCAGGGCUUUCAGCGAGAUUCAAAUGUUGUAGCUAAGCAUGUAGAACCAACAGAAAAAGGUUUCCGGACGCGGGUUCAACUCCCGCCGCCUCCACCA
rnacentral:tmRNA from 1 species